CGCGUAGGCGGCAUGGCAAGUCAGGUGUGAAAGCCCCGGGCUUAACUCGGGAACUGCAUCUGAAACUGCUUUGCUUGAGUCCUGGAGGGGGUAGUGGAAUUCCCAGUGUAGCGGUGAAAUGCGUAGAUAUUGGGAGGAACACCGGUGGCGAAGGCGGCUACCUGGACAGUGACUGACGCUGAGGCGCGAAAGCUAGGGGAGCGAACG
rnacentral:rRNA from 1 species